UUCAAGUUUUCUAAGCAAAUUUACAGUUGGGUUUGAUUUUAGGUAAACCAACCGUAAUUGUUUUACGGUUGGGUUCGAUAAAGACCAAACCUAACCGUAAAUGGUUGUGUGUAUUUUACAUGAAAAUGUGAUCUGAGCGUGCACAAGUGAGCCGGAGGAUGAAAGCGUUUCACUCUCUUUAUCAUGUCCUGAUAUACCAACACAUAGCUGAUGAUUCCUACGACUAUAUAUUCAGGGGUCGAUGGCAGCAGAACAACAACAAGCCUUGUUCUAGGAAAGGAAGAAGACGGAAAAAGUUAUCAAGGCAACAGAAAACAAAACUAAUAUAUGUAAGGAUGACGAUAAAGAGGAUAUCAGAGAAGCAGGAUUGCUGGCCUAUGUCAAGAAGUCUCCAUACAUAUGCAUUUACGUGCAGUUAGUAAAAAGUAUCGAUCAGUAUUACACUAGAGAAGAUACUUCCUACAAGGACUGUAAAUCCCAUAGAUACAUCCCCAUGGCUGUUUUUCCUUACGAAUGACCCAUCCAUUUAAAAUUUUGCAAACCCAAUGCAUCAUAAUGAGAACUACCUCAUGAACAUCCCUAAAUCGUUGAAAGGGAUAAUGAGUACUCAUCCGUAAUGCAUUAUGAUUUUCACUUGUUGUCAGUGGCUCCCGAUAGUAAUGAUAAGAAGAUGUCAGUCGAUGUCGAUGCUAGUGCGGGAGAUGAUCAGUGUUCUUCUGAAAUGAGCUUUUGUGAGAUUUGUACGGAAGCCAGAGAAAAAGGUGAGACAAAGAACAAUACUAGUAAAUGUUCUCAUUUUUCCUGUUAUGAAUGCAUCACCAAACACAUCGAAGCUAAGAUACAAGAGAACAUCAGCAUCAUUACGAUCACUUCAACCAUGUAGAUCAUAAAAGAUUGUAGCACAUAUGAGUGGGUGAAGCGACAUGCCGAUCACUUGGACCAUGUAAAUCACUAUUCAGAGACAUUCAUCACCGCUUUCCAACAGACACUCCACUCAAGGAAGCAGAGCUCAGGUUCAAAGCCAUACGGAAUAACAAGCAAUUUACUUUUCAAUUCCAUGAAAGAAAAGACAAAAAAAAAUAAUUAUGUUUCUCCUAUAAUAAAAUCCAAACUUUUCUGUAAAUAUGUAGUAUCAAGUAGCUGUUUGAUUUUGAUGUUAA